rnacentral:rRNA from 1 species
GGGGGCGGGGGGGGGGGGGCGGGGGGGGGCGGGCGGAGGGGGCGGCGGGGGGGGGGGCGUGCCGGGUGUGGGCGGCGGACGGGUGAGGGAGACGUGGGGGACCGCCCCAUCCGACUCGGGUCACCGCGGGAAACCGGAGCGCAUACCGGACACGAUUUCGACCCGCCAGGUACAAGAUGGAAAGACGUACUUGCCGUGACUUAUGCAUGGAGCCCCGGCGCAUUCGCUAGUUGGGACUGUCACGGCUUACCAAGGCAACGAUGCAUAGCCGACCUGGGCGGGUGAUCGGCCACACUGGACCUGAGACACGGUCCAGACUCCGACGGGAGGCAGCAGUAGGGAAUCUUCCGCAAUGGGCGAAAGCCUGACGGAGCAACGCCGCGUGAGUGCUGAAGGUCUUCGGAUCGUAAAACUCUGUUAUUAGGGAAGAACAUAUGUGUAAGUAACUGUGCACAUCUUGACGGUACCUAAUCAGAAAGCCACGGCUAACUACGUG